rnacentral:rRNA from 1 species
GGUCGCAAGAUUAAAAUUAAAAGGAAAGGACGGGGGCCCGCACAAGCGGUGGAGCAUGUGGUUUAAUUCGAUGCAACGGGAAGAACCUUACCUACUCUUGACAUCCAGAGAAGCCAGCGGAGACGCAGGUGUGCCUUCGGGAGCUCUGAGACAGGUGCUGCAUGGCUGUCGUCAGCUCGUGUUGUGAAAUGUUGGGUUAAGUCCCGCAACGAGCGCAACCCUUAUCCUUGUUUGCCAGCGAGUAAUGUCGGGAACUCCAGGGAGACUGCCGGUGAUAAACCGGAGGAAGGUGGGGACGACGUCAAGUCAUCAUGGCCCUUACGAGUAGGGCUACACACGUGCUACAAUGGCGCAUACAGAGGGCAGCCAACUUGCGAAAGUGAGCGAAUCCCAAAAAGUGCGUCGUAGUCCGGAUUGGAGUAUGCAACUCGACUCCAAAAUACGAAUCAAAAGAACCGCACAGGACAGCGA